CCCCCCCCCCCCCCCCCCCCCCCCCCCCCCCUGGACAUCUUGUCAAAGAACCUGCAGAGCGAGUGCAGGGACAGGCAUCGCCUGGCACUCAGAGGCCUCCUGGUGCUCGGCAAGAACAUCUCCAUGGCCAUACGAAUGUGGGGCCUGCACGCAAGGCUGGUGGAGCUCCUGCGGGACAAGGACAGCGACGUGGUUGGGAUGAGCAUCGUUCUCCUCAGCUGUCUAUUCCCCUACAAUGGCACCAGGAUAGAAACCCCCCUCGCCCUGCAGCUGGCUGACAUGCUCCUGCCACUCUUUGACAACGAUGAUAGCCAGGUGCAGUUGAGCUCCAUGUCCAUCUUCCGAGACAUGAUAGAUUUUUCAUCGGAGAGCAUAAAAAGGGCCCUGAAGUCACACGUGCGCAGGAGCCUGCUCCCACUCUCCUUCCACUGCCACGACCAGAACCAGCGCGUGGCUAAGGCCUCCCGGGCAGCGCUGCAUUCUUCAGCCACGUUCCUGCAGAGGAAGGACCUCCAGGAGGUGCUGCAGGUGGAGCAGACCUGGAGUUUCGGCGUGGUAAGGACGGCCCGGCAGCGCCGGCCUCGGGCCGGAGAAGCCGCCUGAGCGCGCUGCUCAGCGUGUGCGGCCGGCAGCCGCGGCCCUGCCCCCCCCCCCCCCCCCCCCCCCCCCCCCCCCCCCCCCCCCCCCCCCC
rnacentral:lncRNA from 12 species